GAGUUUGAUCGUGGCUCAGAUUGAACGCUGGCGGCAGGCCUAACACAUGCAAGUCGAGCGGUAGAGAGAAGCUUGCUUCUCUUGAGAGCGGCGGACGGGUGAGUAAUGCCUAGGAAUCUGCCUGGUAGUGGGGGAUAACGCUCGGAAACGGACGCUAAUACCGCAUACGUCCUACGGGAGAAAGCAGGGGACCUUCGGGCCUUGCGCUAUCAGAUGAGCCUAGGUCGGAUUAGCUAGUUGGUGAGGUAAUGGCUCACCAAGGCGACGAUCCGUAACUGGUCUGAGAGGAUGAUCAGUCACACUGGAACUGAGACACGGUCCAGACUCCUACGGGAGGCAGCAGUGGGGAAUAUUGGACAAUGGGCGAAAGCCUGAUCCAGCCAUGCCGCGUGUGUGAAGAAGGUCUUCGGAUUGUAAAGCACUUUAAGUUGGGAGGAAGGGCAGUAAAUUAAUACUUUGCUGUUUUGACGUUACCGACAGAAUAAGCACCGGUUAACUCUGUGCCAGCCGCCGAC
rnacentral:rRNA from 1 species